GCCCCCGUAGUCUAGUGGAAGAAUACGAGGUUGCGGACCUUGAGGCCUGGGUUCGAUUCCCAGCGGGGGCG
rnacentral:tRNA from 1 species